GCCCUCGUAGCUCAAUGGAUAGAGCAAGCCUGCCUCUAUCUCGGCAAGGUUGGAGGUUCAAGUCCUCCCGAGGGCA
rnacentral:tRNA from 1 species